ACCGUAAACAAUUGAUUUACACCUACAAACGCCAGGGAAUUACGAGCAAUGCUUAAAACCCAAAGGACUUGACGGUGUCCCACCCAACUAGAGGAGCCUGUUCUAUAAUCGAUGAUCCCCGCUACACCCGACCAUUCCUUGCUCAUCAGUCUGUAUACCUCCGUCGAAAGCUUACCAUGUGAACGUCUGCAGUAAGCUCAAUGACUCACACGUCAACACGUCAGGUCAAGGUGCAACUCAAGGACUGGGAAGUAAUGGGCUACAAUUUCUAAUUUAGAACAAACGGAAGACUAUGUGAAAUCUUAGUCAUGAAGGUGGAUUUAGCAGUAAAAAGAAAAUAGAGUGUUCUUUUUAACUUGGCUCUGGGAUGCGUACACACCGCCCGUCACCCUCUUCAAUAGUAUACUAUUAGUUCUUAACCCAUAAUCACGUUUUAGAAGAGGCAAGUCGUAACAUGGUAAGUGUACUGGAAAGUGCACUUGGUAAACA
rnacentral:rRNA from 1 species